rfam:Ornithorhynchus anatinus chromosome 3, whole genome shotgun sequence.
CCCCUUUCAGGGUCGCAUUUGGAGAGUUUCCAGUACUUUACCAGCCUCGAUUAUAGGAGGGAGAGUCAAACAGAGGCAUUUCCAUUCCAUUCCUAGCUUGGGCAGUGGCUAGUGAGUGGAAGGCAAUCAGCUACAAAC